UACCUCAUCAACCAGAAGGAUUUCCUUCAGGUCAAUGAGGUUGUUAUAUCUCAAUCGGCCAGAAGGAAAUCCCUUCUGGUUGAUGAGGUU
rnacentral:miRNA from 1 species